rnacentral:rRNA from 1 species
UAUGCUAAUACGGGAUAAUAUAUUUGAGAGGCAUCUCUUGAAUAUCAAAGGUGAGCCAGUACAGGAUGGACCCGCGUCUGAUUAGCUAGUUGGUAAGGUAACGGCUUACCAAGGCGACGAUCAGUAGCCGACCUGAGAGGGUGAUCGGCCACAUUGGAACUGAGACACGGUCCAAACUCCUACGGGAGGCAGCAGUGGGGAAUAUUGCACAAUGGGCGAAAGCCUGAUGCAGCAACGCCGCGUGAGUGAUGAAGGCCUUCGGGUCGUAAAACUCUGUCCUCAAGGAAGAUAAUGACGGUACUUGAGGAGGAAGCCCCGGCUAACUACGUGCCAGCAGCCGCGGUAAUACGUAGGGGGCUAGCGUUAUCCGGAUUUACUGGGCGUAAAGGGUGCGUAGGCGGUCUUUCAAGUCAGGAGUGAAAGGCUACGGCUCAACCGUAGUAAGCUCUUGAAACUGGGAGACUUGAGUGCAGGAGAGGAGAGUGGAAUUCCUAGUGUAGCGGUGAAAUGCGUAGAUAUUAGGAGGAACACCAGUUGCGAAGGCGGCUCUCUGGACUGUAACUGACGCUGAGGCACGAAAGCGUGGGGAGCAAACAGGAUUAGAUACCCUGGUAGUCCACGCUGUAAAC